AUCCAGCUGACGAGUCCCAAAUAGGACGAAACGCACGUCUUGGAU
rfam:Schistosoma rodhaini strain Burundi genome assembly, scaffold: SROB_scaffold0000147